AUGGCUGAUUUUGUGGGAGAAGACAGGCACACAAAAGAGGUUUCAACUUACGUGGAAAGGAAAGGUUUGGGUGUCCUAAUUGUGGAUGAUCUGUUAAAACUAGCAAGAGGAUUGAGGACAUCAAAGCAAAGGAACAAUAUGGUGCUAGAUUUCCGCAGUGCAAUAUCUGAAGGAAGCUGUAGGCCUCACAGCCCCUGUAGGUGCAGGGCUGUCAAGGAGUCAUCUCGGAGCCUCGUUUACCUCCUGCCCAACCCCUGGCCCCCUGAAAAGGGGUUCGUCAGUGACCUGCUUGUGAGUCCCCAGCAUCUAGUGAUGACACAGACAAAAACUGGAUUCAAAGCCAUGAACAUGAUGAAUACUGCCUCCCGGCCAGGUCCAGCUCACCUGACUGCCCAUCCUUGAUAACCAUGCAAGAACAGCACUGAAGGGGCUCAGUGGCACAUCCAUCCUGAUAGAGAAGCAAGUGGAUCCUGAUAGGCACAUGAACCCUGAUAGCAACCUAUAUCCUAGUAGCAACAACACAUAUGGUAAAUUGAAAUAUUGUUCCUGAAUAUUAUACUUCCCUAUAGCACUGAUGUCAGGUCAGUUCAUGAGAUUUCCUCUGGCCAAUGAAAUGUAAGCAGAAGUGGCAUGUGUCAUUUCCAGGCGGUCACUUGUAGACCCAGUGUGUGGUUUGCCGUUUCUCCUUUUUCGCAGCGACGAGACUGGCAAUGUUCCAGAUAGAGGCUGUUCUAUCAGCCAGUGUCCCGGGUUAAAGCAAUAUGAGCAAAGCUGUACUGACUUGUAAUGAGCAUGAAGCACAAUGAGAAAUAAAUCUUUGCAGUUAGCCA
rnacentral:lncRNA from 1 species